rnacentral:rRNA from 1 species
GGCUAGAGUUUGAUCAUGGCUCAGGAUGAACGCUGGCGGCGUGCCUAACACAUGCAAGUCGAACGAAGCACUUACUUCCAAAUCUUCGGAAGAGGAGGUACUUGACUGAGUGGCGGACGGGUGAGUAACGCGUGGGGAACCUGCCCCGUACCGGGGGAUAACAGUCAGAAAUGACUGCUAAUACCGCAUAAGCGCACGAAAGCGCAUGCUUUUGUGUGAAAAACUCCGGUGGUACGGGAUGGUCCCGCGUCUGAUUAGCCAGUUGGCGGGGUAACGGCCCACCAAAGCGACGAUCAGUAGCCGGCCUGAGAGGGUGGACGGCCACAUUGGGACUGAGACACGGCCCAGACUCCUACGGGAGGCAGCAGUGGGGAGUAUUGCACAAUGGGGGAAACCCUGAUGCAGCGACGCCGCGUGAGCGAAGAAGUAUUUCGGUAUGUAAAGCUCUGUCAGCAGGGAAGAAAAUGACGGUACCUGACCAAGAAGCACCGGCUAAAUACGUGCCAGCAGCCGCGGUAAUACGUAUGGUGCAAGCGUUAUCCGGAUUUACUGGGUGUAAAGGGAGCGUAGACGGAGGGGCAAGUCUGAAGUGAAAGCCCGGGGCCCAACCCCGGGACUGCUUUAGAAACUGUCCGUCUGGAGUGCCGGAGAGGUAAGCG